UUUUUUAUUUUUCUCUUUAAGAUACUCCAUCUUUUUCUCUUUCCAUUUUUCAAAAGCCUGAAAAAGUUCAGAAUUAUUUUCUUAUUUAAUAUAAAUAUAAUAAAAUAAGUAAAACAUAGUUUAUCACUAAUUUUCAAAUACUUAAAAGGAAUUAAAAAGUAUAUUCAGGAGUUGCUGUUGUGGCUCAGUGGGUUAAGAACCUGACAUGGGGUUCCUGAGGCUGCGGGUUUGAUUACUGGCCUUGCUCAGUGGGUUAAGGAUCCAGCAUUGCCACAAGGUCACAGAUGCGACUUGGAUCCAAUGCUGCCAUGGCUGUGGUGUAGGCCUCAGCUGCAGCUCUGAUUCAACCCUUGGCCUGGGAACUUCCAUAUGACACAGGUGCAGCCCUAAAAAGAAAAAAGAAAAAAAAAUAAAAAGAAAGCUAUUCAAAGCCAUUGCAUACUUGCAGUGCUUCUCCUUUUUUCACAGCAUUUUCUUCUUCAGUUUUCUUCUUGUUUUUUUCCUCAAGCCUUUUUUUGGCAGCUACCUUCUUUGCUUCCUUUUCUUUCAUGGCUUUCCAGGCCUCAAAUGAUGCUAAGGCUUCUUCUCUCUUAGUAGCUCUUUUCUGUCAUGGAAAGAUAAUAGUUUAUGUGUAGGUACAAAUAGACAAAUACAUACACAUAUGCAUUUAUCUUUAAUUCCCUUCAUAUUUAUUCAUCAAAUUAGGUUUCAAAGUAAUUUAUUUAAAAUGAUUCAGAAAAGUUGAUUUGUAAAAAAAAGUUACUGAAUUAAUUCACUGCAUUUCAAAUGUCCUUUUUUGGGAGUUCCCAUUGUGGCUCAGUGGGUUACAAACCCUACUAACAUCCAUGAGGAUUCCAGUUUGAUCCCUGGCCCCGCUCAGUGGGUUAUGGUUCUGGCAUUGCCAUGAGCUGUGGUUUAUGUCACAGAUGCAGCUUGGGUCUCAUGUGCUGUGGCUGUGGCACAGACUGGUAGCUGUGGCUCUAAUUUGACCCUUAGCCUGGGAACUUCCAUAUUCUGAAGGUACCGCCCUAAAAAAGCAAAAAAAAGAAAAAGUCUUUUGUAAGUAUUUCUUAGAUAUAGAUCUACUACUAUUCAUCGAAAGAAACUUUCUUUGGAAGUUUAAUGAACAAGUGUUAUCAAAAUAAACCAUAAUAGCCUAUGUUAUACUGAAAAGUGCCCACAGUAAAAUAUUACAUUAAAAGAAAAAUAUCAGGAAAGUUAUAAGUUUAGAAGUCAGCAGAAUAAGGUAAACUGGUCAAGUCACAGAGUAAACCAGAAAUCUUUGCUUUGAACCAGCGUUUUUAUGCUCUGCCUUCAGAGCAUAAAAUUCUUACGGCAUAAACAUAACCAAAAUAUUGAAAACAUGCCAGAUUGGAAAUAUGUAGGUGAAUAUGUAGUAAUAGCAAGUGUGCUAUAACUUAACUUCAGUCUAAUCCCACAGUAUUCUAUGUUUGCCUUCUAAUACUGCUCAGCACCAAAUAACAUAAAGCCUGAUGAUGGAGACAACAUAAUUUAGAGGUAAAAGCAUGACCUACCACACUGAACUGUGAAGACCAGAAGAGAAGGGGUCUGGCACCUAGUGGCAGGUACUACGGCAAGUGUGGUGCCAGUGUCCAGGCACGGCCCCUGCAGGCAGGCCCACAUAGUGCUAUGUGAGGGUAAGUAUGUUUCUCUUCUUGGCAGCAUAAAAAAGGACAAUGAAGGGUUGUUGUUGUUAUUCUUCCAGGGAUUUACUUUAGAAGAUAGGAAAGAAGUGAGCAUAUUGCAGGCUCCAAGGCAGGAGAAAGAGGCAGAGAGUGAAGUACAGGAGGGACUGAAAUGAGAGCUCAGCUCUACAUAGGGCUAAGGAUACCAGCUAAAGCUCAGGUAGGGGGCUAGUCUUAAAGAUACAUACAAAACUCAAGAUAGAAAAGAGGAAAAAUGAAGGUUAUUGUCUGAUGGCCCUUUAUUGUCUUGGCUAAGUUGUAAUAUUGAAGCCAGUUUUUAAAGAAUAAAGUAGGUAAGGGGUCCCAAGAAAAAAUAAAAUUCGUAAUCAGUAGUGCCAAACCUAUUCCACACAUAUAAAAAAUAAACGUCUCUGGAGUUCCCAUUGUGGCUCAGUGGUUAACAAAUCUGAAUAGGAACCAUGAGGUUGUAGGUUCAAUCCCUGGUCUUGCUCAGUGGGUUAAGGAUCUGGCAUUGCCAUGAGCUGUGGUGUAGACUGGCAGUUGCAGCUCUGAUUUGACCCUUAGCCUGGAAACUUCCAUAUGCCACAGGCAUGGUCCUUUUAAAAGCUUAAAAAAAAAAAAAAAAAAAAAAAAAAA
rnacentral:lncRNA from 1 species